rnacentral:tRNA from 1 species
GUGGCUCAGUGGUAGAGUGCUUGCCUUGCAUGCAUGAGGCCCUGGGUUUGAUUCCAUGC